GUGCAAGGGUGCCUUAUAAAUUAUACCUACCUAAUAUUUUAUCUAAAUAUCUAAACAAAUUAUUCAAACAAAAAUAUAUGGUCAUAUUUUAAAUUUUUGAUAAAGCAAAAAUAAAAAGCUAUCCUCUGAUAAUGGGGUCAGGUGCAUCCCGUGUUACAGGAAGGUAGUUUAUAGACGGGAAUCAAUGAUUAUCCAUUGAUAACAAAAAAACGAUUCUAAGCGGAGUUCGGUAAAUAGUGUUGC